ensembl:snRNA U6 U6 spliceosomal RNA
GUGCUCACUUCUGCAGCACAUAUGCUAAAAUUGGAAUGAUACACAGAAGAUUAAUUAGCAUGGCUCCCAGGCAUGGAUGACAUGCAAAUUUGUGAAGCAUUCCAUAUUUAA